CCAAGGUGUCUUGGAAUUCCAUGCAUAAAACCUUUGUUGAACUUCAAGGUUUCAUCUAGAGCCGAGAGAAGUUCAAUCAACAGCAGGAGAAAGAUAUAUGUUAUGUUUUGCUGAGUGUUGACAAAAGGAUGUUAUACACAAGUGGAAGCUGGAUAACACUUGUUGAUCAAUCUGAUCUCUUACUGAUACACUUUGAGCAGAUAAUCUCCUCCGGUUCUAGUGAUGCCCUCUCAAAAAAUGUCAUUUGUGAGUUUGUGUGUAGAGAUGCCAGUGACCCUUAGCUUAACGGGUUAUGGCUAGCCUGUGUAAGAUUUGAGAUCUCGAAAACAACUCUGUUGAUCUCAUGCAAAGAAACC